UACAGAGGUCUCAAGCGUUGUUCGGAUUCAUUGGGCGUAAAGGGUGCGUAGGCGGUGUGGCAAGUCGGGAGUGAAAUUUCUGGGCUCAACUCAGAGACUGCUUCCGAAACUGCUGUGCUUGAGUGUGGGAGAGGCGCGUGGAAUUGCAGGUGUAGCGGUGAAAUGCGUAGAUAUCUGCAGGAACACCCGUGGCGAAAGCGGCGCGCUGGACCACUACUGACGCUGAGGAACGAAAGCUAGGGGAGCAAACAGG
rnacentral:rRNA from 1 species